rnacentral:rRNA from 1 species
GAUGAACGCUAGCAGAACGCCUAACACAUGCAAGUCAAACGGAUUUCUUUUGGUAGCAAUACUAGAUGAAAUUAGUGGCAAACGGGCGAGUAACACGUACUUAACCUACCCUGGAGACGGGAACAACUACAGAGAUGUAGCUAACUCCCGAUACGCUGUAAGGAAUGAAAAUACUUACAGGAAAUAAUUUAUUGCUCUAGGAGGGGGGUGCGGCCUACCAGGUAGUUGGCGGGGUAAUAGCCCACCAAGCCUAUGACGGGUAGCCGGUCUGAGAGGAUGUCCGGCCGCAAUGGAACUGAGACACGGUCCAUACCCCUACGGGGGGCAGCAGUGGGGAAUAUUGGUCAAUGGGCGAAAGCCUGAACCAGCGAUUCUGCGUGAAGGAUGAAGCAUUACGGUGUGUAAACUUCUUUUGCAGGGGAAUAAAGUGUCCGACGUGUCGGAUUUUGUAUGUACUCUGCGAAUAAGGAUCGGCUAACUCCGUG